GGAGGUACACUGAAGCACCAACCUUCUUCUUCUUCCACCCCUUCUGCUGACGAGGCCAUCCAGCGCUUGACANAGCUACUAGAGCAACGUGACCAGGAAAACCGUGAAUUGAGAGAAGAAUACAGUGACUUGAGAGAUGAGUUUACAAACUUCAAGUCCCUGGUCAUGAGAGCGCUGCCUCAAACUUCAGACACUCCUU
rnacentral:lncRNA from 1 species